rnacentral:rRNA from 1 species
AAUUCCCGGUUUAGCGGUGAUAUGCGUAGAUAUCGGGUAGUACACCAGUGUCGAAGGCGGCUCUCUGGCCUAGAACUGACGCUGAAGCGCGUAAGCUUGGGGGUCGAACGGGAUUAGAUACCCCGGUAGUCCACGCCGUAAACGUUGUGUACUAGGUGUUAGUGGCUUGACCACUAGUGCCGUCGCAUACGCAUUAAGUACACCGCCUGGGGAGUACGUCCGCAAGGAUGAAACUCAAAGAAAUUGACGGGGGCCCGCACAAGCGGUGGAGCAUGUGGUUUAAUUCGAUGAUACGCGAAGAACCUUACCUGGGCUUGAACUGUACUUGAUCGGUGUAGAGAUACACCCUCCUUCGGGCAGGUGCAGAGGUGCUGCAUGGUUGUCGUCAGCUCGUGUCGUGAGAUGUUGGGUUAAGUCCCGCAACGAGCGCAACCCUUACCCCUUGUUGCCAUCAGGUAAUGCUGAGCACUCUAGGGGAACUGUCGGUGAUAAACCGGAGGAAGGUGGGGAUGACGUCAAAUCAUCACGGCCCUUAUGUCCAGGGCUACACACGUGCUACAAUGGCCGGUACAAUGAGUUGCGAGACCGCGAGGUGGAGCUAAUCUCAAAAAACCGGUCUCAGUUCGGAUUGCAGUCUGCAACUCGACUGCAUGAAGCUGGAAUCGCUAGUAAUCGCGGAUCAGCACGCCGCGGUGAUACGUUCCCGGGCCUUGUACACACCGCCCGUCACACCACCCGAGUUGCAGCACCCGAAGUGGCACGAUCUAACUUCGUGAGGAAGG